GGAAGAGGCAGGAGUGGCCCAAAGUUCUCGCGCCGUGGUGUCUUGUAUAAGUUUGUAGAACAAGUCAUUGUGUGUGCGAUUGUUGAUAGGCGGUGUGUUAUCGUGUGUGGCUUCGUGCAAUUAAAGGUUUUUUUGCCAAGCCGUUCAACCGUCCGUGGCACCACAACCGGACUCCCAGUGGCCAUUUCUGACCCCACCAUCAGGCUCAGAAGUUCUCCCGGGGCACGCCGGAAGAGGGACGCUUCCGUUUUCUACGCUCCCUAGGCAGGACGAAUCAGCAAGCGCAAUCGCAUUUCCGUUCCCCUAGUGACGACUAGGGAAACCUCGACGCACGUGUCGCGUCGCGCGCAAAGAAAGUAAGUUAUUCCGAUGAACGAGUAAACCGACCGCCAAGCAGCAGCAGAAAGGCAAUCCGCCUACCCCCGGCGGCAACAGAGCUUCAUCGCCGAACGAGAGAGCCGCAGGGAAUUCACCGCCACCCCCUUUCCGUUCAUCCGGCGGCGUCAUCGUCACCAUGUAAAGGUCUGUGAGUACCCACCACCUAUUAUAUUCAUGCGCAUGACGACAAGUUAAUUCACGCCGCAACAUAGCUUCCGUUGCGUGGCGUGCACGGCCGUUUUUAUAAGACCGUGAAUUGAACAUUCCGUGAAUCGAAAACCCGUUGCGUUCGCAGGGCGAACGAGAGAUUCAAUAGCACGUUGUUCGUAAAGCACACCUAAGCCAAGCACACACACGAUAGGUAGACAGGGACCAUAGCAUGGGAAAGGUUGAGUGAGAAUAGGAAGAGAAGAGCGAAGAGAAAUGAACACUGAUGUAGAAAGAUAGAUGUAAGAAAUAAAGCUCAAUGUGACUGGAUAAAAGCUCAUUUGUUCCGUGCGUAUACAGAAACAUUUCAGUCGUAGAGUAUGAGAAAUGAGGAAGCGGACAGAUAGAUUCCUGCAAUAAAUGUUGGUCCCAAUUAAGUGAAAUGAGUUGAGUGUUUUUCAUGUCACACGUGUCCCGUUUGUAGUUUUUUGUUGUAGAAAUUGUUUUACUGGGGAGGUUGGCUCCGAAACCAACCGGGCAACUUUUUAAUCGGAUACGGGUCGGUUCGAUUGGGAAUUUCGGGAUACUUGCCGGUGAUGAUAAAACCCCCUUUAUAUAAUUCCUCACUGGCCGUUAAUUGCAAUCGUGUUCUAGGUAAUUGUAUUCACAAAACGCAUUAGUAGCGUUUCUUUUUGCGGACAGUUUCAGUCAGCCAUCUAACUUCCCGGACCAAAUUUAAAAACUGAGCCUUCUUCCCCUGAAAGGUCUCAACGGUCGGGCAACCCAAAUAUUGGUGGAUGGUCUCCCUCGGG